rnacentral:tRNA from 1 species
UUAAUUGAAACCAAAAUAGAGGUAUAUCACUGUUAAUGAUAAAAUUGAACUCCAGUUCCAAUUGAA